UCUGGUGAUAAUGCCGAGUGGGUCCUACCUCUUUCCAUUCCGAACAGAGAAGUAAAACCAUUCAGGGCCAAUGAUAGUCCUUCGGGGCGAAAGUAGGUCGUCGCCAGAA
rnacentral:rRNA from 1 species